CUUUAUUAACGAAUUUAAAACAUGUUCUAGGCUCGCAAAUGCAUCAUGUAACUCUUCACCCUGUAAUAAAAUAGUUACACCAUUUAGGGGAAAGAAACAACAUGUGACUUGAUCCCAGUGGAUAUGUAUAGGUAGUCCAAGAGACUGACAGAGGAAGAACGAUGAGGCACCUUGUAAUGGACGGCAUUACCAGACAGUAUUAGACGAAAUAGCUAGAUCUAAACUUGUCUGGUAAGACGACAAUUACAAGGUUUAGGUAGGAGGAGCAUCAGAGUAAAGUAGCAAGGGUCUUUGUAGCUACAGCAGCUUGUGGAUAGACAAGCUGUAAAGACAGAAGACAGAAAUAAGUUAGAGAAUUGGAAUAUUUUGUAGCAAUACAUCAAGAUACCUGGAUAAAUAGAAGCAAAUGAGUGGUCCAGCAGAUUCAGAUGCUGCCUCAAGUGCACAUAUUGCUCCUAAGCAAAAACCACUUACUUUCCUAAUUGACUCUCCACUAAAUAAACCACAAAUAUGUCAGAGAACCACCCCCCCACACACACACACAAUCAUUUUAACAACAGUUAUAGUUUGCAUGUUUCAUUUUCAAGAAUUAUAGUUAAAAUAAUUGGUAAAGGCUGGUUCUCUGUCAUAAGUUAACAAUAUUGACAAUAUAUUUAUUACUUUGAAUGGACAUGCAUAAUGCAAAUAAAUUAUGACAUUCGACUACAAUUUCAGAUUGCUCAGAAUGAGUACACAAAGGUGUAAUUAAAACAGAACUCAGAAGUAAACCCCUUAUCAACCAUCACCUCGGAAACACAUCUGUCACCUCUCCAUUGAUUUGUACAUUACAUUUCUUGUAGGAGGACGCACAAUGUGAAGUUUUAUUUGAAACAUUGAUCCCUUCUCUACUUUCAAUUUACAUUCAGAAUCCCAAUUGUGUCGAAACAACAUAAAAUAGUAAUUAAUAAAGAGUAAUUAAUAAGAGUAAUUAAUAAAAAUAAAAAAAAAGAUUAUCUCUUUAAGGGACAGGGAGCUAAAGGGAACAGAAUUAGUACUCAUUUAAAGCUCACUUAAUUUGAAUUUGACCGAGCAAGAGAGAGAAAGAGCAGCAGAGAGGCAGAGCCAUAGAGGUCCUUGUGUUUAUUUUUCUCACACAGAUCUCAGGUGUCAGCUGCACAAUAUGCCACGCAGGUACAGUAGGGCUGGACCAAUCACCAGCCAGCUACGGCUCAGGGCUGGGGGAGGGGAAGAGGAAGUGGCUCCUACUGCAACAGUCAUUUCAGUGGUAUUCUUUAACUACAGGGUGGGGUGGAAAAUCUACACAAAGGGCUGGAGGCAGGGAGGAACUACCUUUCACAAAAGGGGGUGGGGGGGGGGGGGGUUUAGGCAGAAGGUGGCAGCGCAGACGACGUUUAAAACUAUUACCUCAUCCUAUUACACUACGGGACUUGGUGUGUGUCACCUGUUCUGGAUUGUUCCUCCAGCCAGUUGUUUCAUCCGCCUCUCUCAUUCACGUACAGUAUUGUCCUUUAAAAAGAACCACCCCUACGACUGCUUUGACCUUCUCAUUGGCUGUACUAUAAACUGGAGAUCAGGUUAUCUGGAGUCAAAUCAUAUGACUAAAACAUUAACUAACAACUGUUCCCAAACAGCACCAAAAACCGGUGAAGUGGGAAUGCUUCCUGUUUCACGUUGAUUGGUUGUUGGGAUGUGGUGUUGUUUGCGGUACACUCAGGAAACAUCAUUACCAGACAGUGUUAGAACACCAGUGUACAGCCCAGCACUGUCAGGUAAGAUGGGUCCUAGAAGCCAGAGGAGGAAGGUAAACCAAAAACACAUACCUAUAUCUUAUUAUAGGAAACCUUAGAGAGUAUCUAGUUCUAUGCAAUGCUUAGAACACGGCUCAAACAAGCAACUCCAAAAGAACCCGAGGUUGAGGGUUAAUGAAAUACAG
ensembl:lncRNA